rnacentral:ncRNA from 2 species
AAGCCUACCUCGGGGUGCGCGGUCUGCCGUGCUGAGACGUCUUUAACGAACCCGUAGAACCUGAACCGGCUAGAACCGGCGGAGGGAAGGUUACGGUUUCAUCC